rnacentral:rRNA from 1 species
GAUGAACGCUGGCGGCGUGCUUAACACAUGCAAGUCGAACGGAAAGGCCCAAGCUUGCUUGGGUACUCGAGUGGCGAACGGGUGAGUAACACGUGGGUGAUCUGCCCUGCACUUCGGGAUAAGCCUGGGAAACUGGGUCUAAUACCGGAUAGGACCACAUUUUGGAUGGUGUGGUGGAAAGUUUUUCGGUGUGGGAUGAGCUCGCGGCCUAUCAGCUUGUUGGUGGGGUAAUGGCCUACCAAGGCGUCGACGGGUAGCCGGCCUGAGAGGGUGUACGGCCACAUUGGGACUGAGGGGAGGCCCAGACGCCGAAGGGAGGAAGCAGGGGGGAAGAUUGCACAAUGGGCGCAAGCCGGAUGCAGCGGCGCCGCGUGGGGGAUGACGGCCUUCGGGUUGUAAACUCCUUUCGCUAGGGACGAAGCGUUAUGUGACGGUACCUGGAGAAGAAGCACCGGCUAACUACGUG